CUGGCGGCACGCCUAAUACAUGCAAGUCGAACGAAGUAGCAAUACUUAGUGGCAGACGGGUGAGUAACAUGUGGGUAUCUUCCCUUUGGUGAGGAAUAACACGAGGAAACUUGUGCUAAUACCUCAUAAGUCUUUACGGAGAAAGCUUUAUGCGCCAUUGGAUGAGCCCGCACUUGAUUAGUUUGUUGGUGGGGUAAUGGCCUACCAAGACUUUGAUCAAUAGCUGAUUUGAGAGGAUGAUCAGCCACAUUGGGACUGAGACACGGCCCAAACUCCUACGGGAGGCAGCAGUAGGGAAUCUUGCACAAUGG
rnacentral:rRNA from 1 species